rnacentral:rRNA from 1 species
UACAGAGGGCUCAAGCGUUGUUCGGAAUCACUGGGCGUAAAGGGUGCGUAGGCCGCACGGUAAGUCAGAGGUGAAAUCCCGGAGCUCAACUUCGGAAUUGCCUCCGAUACUGCCGUGCUUGAGGACUGGAGAGGAGAUUGGAAUUCACAGUGGAGCAGUGAAAUGCGUAGAUAUUGUGAGGAACACUAGUGGCGAAGGCGAAUCUCUGGACAGUUCCUGACGCUGAGGCACGAAGGCCAGGGGAGCAAAUGGG